CGCGUGAACCUUGUUAUUCACGUCCAGAUGACGCUAGGAGGUAUAGGGCAAGCAAUCAUU
rnacentral:misc_RNA from 1 species